CCAACCCGGCUCACCACGGGUUCAACCCGCAUGAGCCGAGUCUAAAUGAGCCGGGUUGAAAUCUGACCCGCAUAUAAGUGAGUUGUAUUUUUCAAACCCAUUUUGACCCAUUUUGACGAGUUCGGGCCGGGUUGGCUUGCGGGUUUUGACCCAUUUUGACGACUCUAAUAUAGAGCAUUCACACAUAUAAGCAUGCAAGUCAUCAUUUAACAUAAACAUAGAAAUUAUAUUCAUGCAACUAACCAAAUCAAGUAUCCUAUCAUGUUAUGACCCCUAGACUCGUCCGAACUUCGAAUGAAUGUCGAUUUAGGGUGGGUUGUGCACUUGUGGUGGCCUCUACUGCCUUGCAAGGCCAUUGCCAAUGAGUUUCACCCUACCAAACACAAGGUUGGUCUGUUACCGCGCAAUAGGCCUUCCAAGAAGCGCCUACACUAGGACCUCCUACUGCUCUCACCACACGUGUCAAUCCUCUCUAAGUGAGAAUGAAAGACCGUUAGAGUGUUAGGAUAAUCCCCCAUAUGGAAGCCUCUUACAUUCAUCCUAAACACUAUAAUGAUCUCACCUAAAGAUCAUACUUUGAUACUAUUUACAUUGAAAUCAUUCCACGUACAUUACCAAACAAUAACAGACUCAGAAAAACCACUAAACAACACAAAACCCCGUAAACUCAUACUUAGAUAAAGAAAAUGACUCUUAAACCAUCACC
rnacentral:lncRNA from 1 species